GCCCGGUGGUGCAGCGGUAGCACAUUUCAUCAUUCGACACUCUAGAUACCCCGUUGGGAUGUCGAGGUUGGAAAGAGCAUGGGUUCGAAUCCCAUCCGGGGCA